AUUGAACGCUGGCGGCAUGAUUUACACAUGCAAGUCGAACGGUGACAGGCCGCAAGGUGCUGACGAGUGGCGAACGGGUGAGUAAUGCAUCGGAACGUGCCCAGUCGUGGGGGAUAACUACUCGAAAGAGUAGCUAAUACCGCAUACGAUCUAUGGAUGAAAGCGGGGGACCGUAAGGCCUCGCGCGAUUGGAGCGGCCGAUGUCAGAUUAGGUAGUUGGUGGGGUAAAGGCUCACCAAGCCAACGAUCUGUAGCUGGUCUGAGAGGACGACCAGCCACACUGGGACUGAGACACGGCCCAGACUCCUACGGGAGGCAGCAGUGGGGAAUUUUGGACAAUGGGCGCAAGCCUGAUCCAGCAAUGCCGCGUGCAGGAAGAAGGCCUUCGGGUUGUAAACUGCUUUUGUACGGAACGAAACGGCUCUGGUUAAUACCCGGGGCUAAUGACGGUACCGUAAGAAUAAGCACCGGCUAACUACGUG
rnacentral:rRNA from 1 species